GGCUUAUAUAAACCAGGCAGUUUGGCUGCAGGAGGUCAGGCAACAACAUUGCCUGGCUUUAGAGCUGCUGUGGAUACCUGGAGGAUCGUGAUGCUAAAGGAAUAUUUUCUUCAGAUGCAAGAUACAACACUGUGAAAAAAAAGUUCAGAUGCAUCUCCAGAUCUGAAUUAAAUGCUUUCGUGAGACUUUAUAACAGACAAAUUGCAACAAAUACAAAAAUUCAAGAUUUCAGGGUUCUGGUGUAGCAUGCAUUGAAGAAUUUAACUGGACAUCCAUGCAUUUGGUAGCAGCCCAGACAGGUGCACAUGACUUGGCCAUUGAGGAGACCAGUGCCAUAGCAGAGGUGCGAAGUACUCCUGCAGUGGCAUCACAGCUCGUUCCAGCGAGUUUUUGCACUAUGUUCACCUGACUCUUAAUCUUGACAGCUAUUUUUCAAAGAUGAUUACAAAAAGUUAAGGUCGAGUGUCACACCUAGUAGGACAGAGUUGGAACAUGUUGUAAUUUUUCUUGGCAAAAAAGAGAUGUUGAGAUGAACAUGUGCUUUGUGGCUAUUGAGGUGAAAUUCUGAGAUGAUGGACUCAAUUGGGUUUGGUAGAAGAUGAUUGCUUGCUCAUGGCCCACCCUGCUAUGUAGAAAUCCAAAACAGGAAAAUCCACAACUAAUGUCAUCACAAGGGCAACUGAACACCCAACGGCCUCCCGGCUGAUGGAGCAACAACCAUAGCAAUAACUUUAAAUUGUGGCAGAGCUGAAUUAGAUUAUCUAUCCAGAGAAAAAAAUAACAACAACCAAAAAAACCCCUGCUUUACUAUUAGAACAGUUAAGCAGUAGAAUAGAUUACAUACACAAGUUAUACAAUCUGCUUGCAAGGCUUGGAUAUAGAAUGACUGCAGCCAAAGCCUUAUCUUCAAUGGACUAAUCAGCAUAGUAGUUGUAUUUUGUUGCUAAAGCCAACACCCAAAUACUACCUCCUCUAGAACAAAGAGGAAGCAAGGAGGGGAUUAUAUAUCAGAAAUACCUGUCAGAGAUACACUGCCUGCCUACCCUGCUAGUAAGCUGCUGAAUCGAAGGAAGAACACAGAUUUCACCAAGGAAUUUGGAGAAGGCUGGAAGUCAAGCUUUGUAUAUAUGACUUGAAUGCUAGCUAAAUUGUGGUUAAUACAAACAUUUCUUAUAUAUUUCUUUGUGUGUGUGUGUGUGUGUGUGUGUGUAUAUUUCAAAUAACUUCUUAAUAAAGAACGAUUUUAUUUUGGAAACAU